AUGUGCUUUUCAGAUCUAGAAGUAUUCUUUGUCAACUGCAAGCUGUUCUAUUCGCCGCGGGAGUUUCACUCGCUCAAUCUGGUGAGUGUUUACAUUCCUCCGCAAGCGCACGUGAGCCUGGCUUUACAGAAACUCGCUGAUCAGAUCACAGAGACAGAACAACAACACCCGGACUCCAUUUUAAUCAUUCUCAGGGACUUUAAUAAAGCAAAUCUCUCCCGUGAACUGCCAAAAUACAGACAGCACAUCACUUGUCCCACCAGAGACAGUAAUAUAUUGGAUCACUGUUACACCACAAUAAAGGAUGCAUAUCACUCUGUUCCACGAGCAGCUCUGGGACGUUCUGUUCAUCUUAUACCGACCUACAGGCAGAAACUAAAAUCAGCUAAACCUGUAUUAAGGACUGUAAAAAGAUGGACUAAUAAAGCAGAGCAGGAUUUACGAUCUUGUUUUAACCUCACUGAUUGGAGUGUUUUUGAAGCUGCUGCCACCAAUCUGGACGAGCUCACAGAGACUGUGACAUCUCAUAUCAGUUUCUGUGAGGAUAUCUGUAUUCCUACCAGGACUCAUCUAACUUACAACAAUUACAAACCGUGGUUCACUGCAAAACUCAGACAGCUCCGUCAGGCCAAAGAAGAUGCUUACAGGAAGGGGGACAAUGUCUUGUAUAAACAGGCUAAAUACACAGUGGAAAAGGAGAUCAAAGUGGCAAAGAGAAAUUAUUCUGGAAAAAUAAGGACUCAGUUCACUUCCAACGACUCAGCAUCAGUGUGGAAAAGUCUGAAAGAGAUCACCAACUACAAGACACCAUCCCCCAGCACUGUGGAGAAUCAACGACUGGCAGACGAUCUGAACGAGUUUUACUGCAGGUUUGAAAGAAGAACACCCAUCACCUGCCCUGAACGCCCCUCCACACAACCGUUCACACCAUUCACAACUCUUGCAACCCGUCCUGUACACCUCUCCAAACAACCGCCCUCACCAUUCACACCUCCUGCAUCCCCCCUCUCCCCCACACCUGCAAUACAGAUAAGCGAGGAUGCGGUGCGCCAGGUCUUCCGGAAGCAGAAAAGGAAAAAAGCACCAGGCCCAGAUUGUGUUACACCAGCUUGUCUGAAAUCCUGUGCUGACUAG
ensembl:lncRNA